AUACUUAACUUUGCCGGGGAGAAACCGUGAUUAUGAAGGUGGUUUUCCCAGGUGAGGUUUAUCUGUUGCACUCUUGAUGUUCUGACGCCUGUGAUUUCCCCAAGUGUGGGAAACACAACUGCAUAAUUUGUGGUGGUGGGGCACUGCAUUUGUGUUCUUCCUGG